rnacentral:lncRNA from 1 species
CUUGGUGACCUCCCUUAGCAACUCUAACUGGUCCGUUUAUGAGCUUUGGAAAAUUCCACCCAGCACUUGCCUGAUUUUUCUUUUUUUUUUUUAACUUUCUCUGUCUCUUCUUGCUCCAAGAAGAACAGGACAGGACGUCACUACCAAGAUUUAACCCCUUUUAGAUAUGUACCUGGCUCUCGUCAGCUCUGGGGAUCUAAGAGGGGUGCAGGCAUCUCUUGGUUGUCCAUGGUUACUCUAAUUUCAUAGCAGACUGCUGUUACCUACUGCCUUCUGCUUAGUACUGGAAGAGGGAGGGGAGGUGGCCCGAGACACGGAAGGGACAGCACCUCCUACAGGGUGUGUCACUUUGAGCCAGGCUCUGUACUCUGCUCCUGACCACCUCACAGCUCAUUCCCAUUUCACUGAGGAAUAAACUGCUUUAGGAUAAAGGAAUUGCCAAGUUCCCUGAGUACAUGCAGUAAGGAGAAGCAGGCUGGGACCACCUUGCCAUGCAGGCCUCUGUCGUGCCCAUGAUGGGAUGAGCCGCGACACACUGGCCCAUAGAGCUGGCCACACUGGGAAUCUGGCUGAAGGCAGUGGAGAGGGCAAAGCUACAAGCACUCCUGUCUGGUUCCUGCUAGCCUGGGCUGGGAGAAUCCACCAGGGACCACUGCCUAGAACCUACAGUGACUUUGAGUCCCCGGCGGGGCCUAGGCCACGCCCAACAGACUUGUGGAUGACACAUAAACUCAAGUAGGGCUGUGUCCUGAGGCAGGACUAUAAGAAGACAUGGACUCUGUUUUCAAGGUUAUUAAGUGGCAAUGACAAAACACAAUAAAAACCAUGUGGCAUAGCUCAAGAUAACAACGGAUGAGUCAUCAACUGAAAGGCACCAUCAGGGGUGAAGUGGCUGGAUGGCCUGACUGGGGGAAAGCUUCCAGGAGGGGGGAUGGGGUCCC